CCUACGGGAGGCAGCAGUGGGGGAUAUUGCACAAUGGGGGAAACCCUGAUGCAGCGACGCCGCGUGAGUGAAGAAGUAUUUCGGUAUGUAAAGCUCUAUCAGCAGGGAAGAAAAUGACAGUACUUGACCAAGAAGCCCCGGCUAACUACGUGCCAGCAGCCGCGGUAAUACGUAGGGGGCAAGCGUUAUCCGGAUUUACUGGGUGUAAAGGGAGCGUAGACGGUUAUGUAAGUCUGGAGUGAACGCCCGGGGCGCAACCCCGGGACUGCUUUGGAAACUGUGUGACUGGAGUACAGGAGGGGCAGGCGGAAUUCCUGGUGUAGCGGUGAAAUGCGUAGAUAUCAGGAGGAACACCGGCGGCGAAGGCGGCCUGCUGGACUGAAACUGACGUUGAGGCUCGAAAGCGUGGGGAGCAAACAGGAUUAGAUACCCGGGUAGUC
rnacentral:rRNA from 1 species